rnacentral:rRNA from 1 species
GGAAACCAUUGCUAAUACCCAAUGAGCCGAGAGGUAAAAAAUUUAUUGCCUGAAGAGGAGCUCGCGUCCGAUUAGUUAGUUGGUGGGGUAAAGGCUUACCAAGACGGCGAUCGGUAGCUGGUCUGAGAGGAUGAGCAGCCACACUGGGACUGAGACACGGCCCAGACUCCUACGGGAGGCAGCAGUGGGGAAUUUUCCGCAAUGGGCGAAAGCCUGACGGAGCAAUACCGCGUGAGGGAGGAAGGCCUUUGGGUUGUAAACCUCUUUUCUUAAGGAAGAAGAUCUGACGGUACUUAAGGAAUCAGCAUCGGCUAACUCCGUGCCAGCAGCCGCGGUAAUACGGAGGAUGCAAGCGUUAUCCGGAAUUAUUGGGCGUAAAGCGUCCGCAGGCGGCACUAUAAAUCUGCUGUCAAAGACCGCAGCUCAACUGCGGAAAGGCAGUGGAAACUGUAGAGCUAGAGUACGGUAGGGGUAGAGGGAAUUCCCAAUGUAGCGGUGAAAUGCGUAGAGAUUGGGAAGAACACCAGUGGCGAAAGCGCUCUACUGGGCCGUAACUGACGCUCAGGGACGAAAGCU